rnacentral:misc_RNA from 1 species
GUUAAAUACCACAAACCAAAGUUGCAUUAGUUAUCUCGACCUUAUUUUUCUUAUGUGCCUAAUUGAGCUACAUACUUAUGCGGAUAUUACUUUUUCAUAAGCGGCCCACAAAUAUUAAUAGUAAUAUUUAUGUGGAAGUUAUGUUACAGCUCUACUUUCUGCACAAUUGGAGGAAUAAUGCACGAUUGUUCCUUACAGUCUGAACGAUUGUAGGAACUUCUAAUUAUG